AACGAACGCUGGCGGCAGGCUUAACACAUGCAAGUCGAACGCAUCCUUCGGGGUGAGUGGCAGACGGGUGAGUAACGCGUGGGAAUCUACCCUGAUCUGCGGGAUAGCUCCGGGAAACUGGAAUUAAUACCGCAUAUGUCCUGAGGGACAAAGAUUCAUCGGUUCAGGAUGAGCCCGCGUCCGAUUAGCUAGUUGGUGGGGUAAAGGCCUACCAAGGCGACGAUCGGUAGCUGGUCUAAGAGGAUGAUCAGCCACAUUGGGACUGAGACACGGCCCAAACUCCUACGGGAGGCAGCAGUGGGGAAUAUUGGACAAUGGGCGCAAGCCUGAUCCAGCCAUGCCGCGUGAGUGAUGAAGGUCUUAGGAUUGUAAAGCUCUUUCACCGGGGACGAUAAUGACGGUACCCGGAGAAGAAGCCCCGGCUAACUUCGUGCCAGCCGCCGCCGUAA
rnacentral:rRNA from 1 species